CGUGUAGGUGGCUAAUUAAGUCAGGUGUGAAAUCCUUCCGCUUAACGGGAGAAGUGCACUUGAAACUGCUUAGCUAGAGUACGGGAGAGGAAGGUGGAAUUCCUGGUGUAGAGGUGAAAUUCAUAGAUAUCGGGAAGAACACCGGUGGCGAAGGCGGCCUUCUGGCCCGAUACUGACGCUGAGACGCGAAAGCGUGGGGAGCAAACAGGAUUAGAUACCCUGGUAGUCCACGCCGUAAACGUUGGGCACUAGGUGUGGGAGGUUUUUAUUCCUUCUUUGCCGAAGCUAACGCAUUAAGUGCCCCGCUGGGGAUACGGUCGCAAGGCUAAA
rnacentral:rRNA from 1 species